rfam:Streptococcus uberis 0140J complete genome
UAUUCCUUUAAAACGGUCCCGUGAGGCUGUCAAGGAGACAAUUCAAGACAUAAGUGUACGCUUUUUGGUGUACGAUUAUUUUGUGAAAUCUCCUUGUUUUCAAGGGGAUUUUUUUUUGU